GAUGAACGCUGGCGGCGUGCUUAACACAUGCAAGUCGAACGGAACUACUCCAAUGAGAGUCUUCGGAAAGGAUUCGGUUUAGUUUAGUGGCGGACGGGUGAGUAACGCGUGGGUAACCUGCCCUAUACAGGGGGAUAACAGUUGGAAACGACUGUUAAUACCGCAUAAGCGCACAGGAGCGCAUGCUCCGGUGUGAAAAACUCCGGUGGUAUAGGAUGGACCCGCGUCUGAUUAGCUGGUUGGCGGGGUAACGGCCCACCAAGGCGACGAUCAGUAGCCGGCCUGAGAGGGUGAACGGCCACAUUGGGACUGAGACACGGCCCAAACUCCUACGGGAGGCAGCAGUGGUGAAUAUUGCACAAUGGGGGAAACCCUGAUGCAGCGACGCCGCGUGAGCGAAGAAGUAUCUCGGUAUGUAAAGCUCUAUCAGCAGGGAAGAAAAUGACGGUACCUGACUAAGAAGCCCCGGCUAACUACGUG
rnacentral:rRNA from 1 species